rnacentral:rRNA from 1 species
AGUGAACGCUGGCGGUAGGCCUAACACAUGCAAGUCGAACGGCAGCACAGUAAGAGCUUGCUCUUACGGGUGGCGAGUGGCGGACGGGUGAGGAAUACAUCGGAAUCUACUUUUUCGUGGGGGAUAACGUAGGGAAACUUACGCUAAUACCGCAUACGACCUACGGGUGAAAGCAGUGGAUCUUCGGACCUUGCGCGAUUGAAUGAGCCGAUGUCGGAUUAGCUAGUUGGCGGGGUAAAGGCCCACCAAGGCGACGAUCCGUAGCUGGUCUGAGAGGAUGAUCAGCCACACUGGAACUGAGACACGGUCCAGACUCCUACGGGAGGCAGCAGUGGGGAAUAUUGGACAAUGGGCGCAAGCCUGAUCCAGCCAUACCGCGUGGGUGAAGAAGGCCUUCGGGUCGUAAAGCCCUUUUGUUGGGAAAGAAAAGCAGCAGGUUAAUACCCCGCUGUUCUGACGGUACUCAAAGAAUAAGCACCGGCUAACUUCGUG